UUCAUUUCCUGCUUUGACAUAAGAACAUCACUUUUUUGAUCUACUGUUCAACGGUAUGGAAGAUCCUUUCAUGUAUAAUGUAGUUUGUAAUGGCACUGGCAAAAUGAUUUGAGUGCUGUGCUUAUUGAGCUCACAAACAUGAUUGGCGAACGAUUGUGUGUCUGCAGAACAGAGCCAGCGACAAUUGCUGGAAGCAGGUGGCAUUGGGGUGUUGUUGACCUUAAUGGCAGAGGCUGAGGGGGAUCAUGAUGUGAGCCAUGCCACACUCUUUGCUAUCCAUAGCAGUGCUCGCCUUGCAAGUACGUUUCUGGAGAUCGGCCCUGGAGUGAACACGCAUAAGCAUCUGCAGGAAGACAAGCUGCAAAAGAAACAUCAGCCGCAAUUUAAUCAGCAACAGACAAAAGGAAGAAUGCAUCUGGAUUGCAACACAGAGGCUAACACUCGUAAUAUUGAAAGAAAGGCAUGCUUGAAGUCCUGGGAGUGUGAAUCACAGAAGAUAAAGAUGGACGUCAACUGUUGUGCACGGAGGCAGGCUACCAGUGCUGUUCCUGGAUCUGUGGAUCUUGCCAAGCCCAAGCCCAAGUUCAAGAUUUCAGGAAGGAGAGCUAUGUACUUCCCAAAAGCAUGCAGCAGUGUUUCAAUAAAUACCCGUUGGAAGAAAGUAAGUGGGAAGCCGGAAACCUCUUGGCUAAGAAUGUCAAGAGAUAAGAUCGAUGUCGACCCUGUGCAUAUUUGCCGAGAAGAGAUCAAGCAGGAGAUUGCAAGGCACAAAAGGCAAUUUAGCGUCUGUUACUCCAGCAGACGCUGCUUAGCUUGCUCAGUUGGCCUUCUGUUGAACAGCCUCAACUUUGUCUCCACACUGAUGAACUGCAAUUCCACGUGUGAUCUGCACCGUGAACUGUUACAAAUUGAGCAAGCAUUCUGCAGAAAAAUAGCUGCUCAUCAUGUUUCACAUGUAGACACCUUUCAUGCACGCGCGAUUCCCGCUUCUUUCACGGACGCCGAGACCCGCCUUUUUCCAUCGACGUUCGACGCCCCGUUCC
rnacentral:lncRNA from 1 species